GUGAUGUAGCCAACCCCGUGCGCAUAAAAUAGCAAGCCCUGUGGUUGAACUGUUUUGAAUCGUAGGCUGAGAGUAUCCGACGUUCCAAAUAUCGAUGUAUUCGUUCCAAGUAGAUCGAAUUUGAUGUAUUCUGAUCCGCGAACACUCACUUCGGCACAGUCCAUGAAACAAAGACAACACAACAGUAAAGAAACGAUAACACAAUAUCGAAUCAUUCUCAAUUCUUGUGAACUUCGUGCACCAAAUAUACCCUCUCCAACGAGUCCAGUGUACUCUAAAAUCUAAAUAUGCUUCGCUCUUUUCCAAUUCAGUGGAGGAGAUAGACUCAUUAACCAUAUUAACCAAUGACAGCUUAGUGGUCAAUGA